CUGGGAAUACCAUAUGGAACAGUGGGAGUUCGGCGCGGUCCUGCCCUACCCACAGGGCUCUGUGGUGGCCGAUUGGUUUUGCCUCUUUCCCUGCAGUGUGUGGGGGGGUCACAUCCCCAUAAGCACCCCCAUAAACCGGGCAGCAAUGGGGGGAGUGGGGACAAAGCCCCUCAGGAGCCCCCAGCAUCGCUGUGCCCAUGCCAGGCUGGAGCCUUGCCUGACCCCAUCUUUAUCCCUUUAUUUCCUGCCUGCCCGCUGCAAAGCGGCUCCGUCAGCUCCGGCAUCAGCUCCGCAUCCUGAGCGGAGCGAGGAGGGGAGGACGCAGGGGCUGGCGGAGCGGCGGCUCUGCCGAGCAUCCCUUGUCCCUGCCGAGCAUCCCUUGUCCCUGCAGUGGGAAGCGCCCCUCCUCUCCCCCCCGGCUCCUCAUCACCAUGCUGGAUAUCUUCAUCCUGAUGUUUUUUGCCAUCAUCGGCCUGGUGAUUCUCUCCUACAUCAUUUACAUGCUGUAGAGCGGCGCUGGGGACAAUGCGGCUCAGCCAGCGGGGGGGUUUGCCAGCCACCACCGCUGCCUGCUCCAUCUGCCGCAGAAGCUUCUGGAAAAGCAUAACCCCUCUGCGAGCAAACGGAGAGAGGAAGGAGGGGAACGGGGUGGUGGGAGCGAGGGGACAUCCCGCUGCUGAGACACGGGAUGUUCCCGGUGGUGGACACAGCAUCCCAGGGGAUGUGGAAGGUCCUGCUCCCCCUCCCCACGUGGCUUCCCUUGGGAUGAGCGCUUCCAAGGGUUUAGUUUUAGAAAAGCCCUUCUAUUUUUAAAUGAGAAAUGUAAAACGUUGAAGGAAAUGAAAUAAAGAGGAAUGAGACGAGGGAGAGAACGCG